rnacentral:rRNA from 1 species
AGUGAACGCUGGCGGCAGGCCUAAUACAUGCAAGUCGAACGGCAGCACAGCAGAGCUUGCUCUGUGGGUGGCGAGUGGCGGACGGGUGAGGAAUACGUGGGAAUCUGCCCAGUCGUGGGGAUAACGUAGGGAAACUUACGCUAAUACCGCAUGCGCCCUUCGGGGAAAGCCGGGGACCUUCGGGCCUGGCGCGAUUGGAUGAGCCCACGUCGGAUUAGCUAGUUGGCGGGGUAAAGGCCCACCAAGGCGACGAUCCGUAGCUGGUCUGAGAGGAUGAUCAGCCACACUGGAACUGAGACACGGUCCAGACUCCUACGGGAGGCAGCAGUAGGGAAUAUUGGACAAUGGGCGCAAGCCUGAUCCAGCCAUGCCGCGUGAGUGAAGAAGGCCCUCGGGUUGUAAAGCUCUUUGUCCGGAAAGAAAGCGCCGGGUUAAUACCCUGGUGUCCUGACGGUACCGGAAGAAUAAGCACCGGCUAACUUCGUGCCAGCAGCCGCG